CACGCCCUAAACGAUGUCGACUGGAUGUUGGGUGCAAUUUGGCACUCAGUAUCGAAGCUAACGCGUUAAGUCGACCGCCUGGGGAGUACGCGCGCAAGCGUGAAACUCAAAGGAAUUGACGGGGGCCCGCACAAGCGGUGGAGUAUGUGGUUUAAUUCGAUGCAACGCGCAGAACCUUACCUGGUCUUGACAUGUCGAGAAUCCUUCAGAGAUGAGGGAGUGCCUUCGGGAACUCGAACACAGGUGC
rnacentral:rRNA from 1 species